rfam:Ferroplasma sp. Type II genomic scaffold AMDT4_FER2S00037, whole genome shotgun sequence.
GGGCACGUGGCCUAGCAUGGAUAGGGCAACAGCCUCCUAAGCUGUAAAUCAGGGGUCCAAAUCCCCUCGUGCCCG